AUGCUAACCCUAAACUUGCUCGGCCACUCCUCCCUCCCUUCCUCCUGCGCAGCCAGCCCCCAAUCUCUCUCUCCCACGCAACUCCUUGCGACUCCACGGCGCCGCCGCCCGAUUCAGGCGACUUCUGUCAGCUAUGGCCGGCGCCCAGCACACCCCCAUCUUCCCCUCGCUCCGCUCUUUCCUCUCCUCCGGUUAGAUUCACUAUGCCCAGCCACCAACGCUCGCUCUCAACCCAUAUUCUUAGCUAGGGUUUCGUCGCCGGCGUGGCUCCGGCGGAUUCUCUCCAUCCCCUGCCACCUGCUGGAUGGUGCUCCUGGAACGGGGCCGCGCGGAGGCCCUCCUGCCGUAGGAUGUGCUGACGCGGCGCUCCUGCAGCGGCUGUUCGGGAUGAGCGCGGGCGCGACAGCCUUGUCCCGGUCGACGAUGGCGGCGGCGAACGCCGGUGCUCCUUCUCGUCCUCUACCUCCAAGGACGCGCACCGGUAUAGCUCAGGCACCCCCGUCCCCAAAUCCCGUUCACCCAUCCGGCGUUGUCCAGCUCAUCCUCACGCUCGUGGAUUCGCCUCCUCCUGUACGCGACACUUGA
rnacentral:rRNA from 1 species